AUCCAUCUGACGAGUCUCAAAGAAGAUGAAACGUGCGUCAAACUGCAU
rnacentral:hammerhead_ribozyme from 1 species